rnacentral:rRNA from 1 species
UGACCUGCGGAAGGAUCAUUAUCGUAUACAAUCGAGGCGUGCGAGGGCUGUCGCUGACUUCAAGUCGUGCACGCCCGAGCGCUCUCUCACACUUCUAUCUCACCCCCUUCGUGCAUCAUCGCGUGGGUCCUCUCUUCGGAGGGGGCUCGCGUUUUCAUACAAACGCCCCUUUAAUGCAGUAUAGAAUGUCUUCCUUGCCUCGCGAUGACUCGCGUGGCGAUCUAAUACAACUUUCAACAACGGAUCUCUUGGCUCUCGCAUCGAUGAAGAACGCAGCGAAAUGCGAUACGUAAUGUGAAUUGCAGAAUUCAGUGAAUCAUCGAAUCUUUGAACGCACCUUGCGCCCCUUGGCAUUCCGAGGGGCACACCCGUUUGAGUGUCGUGACAUCCUCAAAUCCCUUUUCUCGUUCUCUUGAACGGGGGAAGGCUUUUGGACUUUGGAGGUCUUUGCUGGCAUCGCUCGAAGCCAGCUCCUCUUAAACGAAUUAGCAGGGUUCGCUUUGCAGAUCCUCGACGCGAUAAGAUAUUUUCUUCGUCUUGAGUUUUUGCUCUGCCGACCUGCUUCUAAAUCGUCUCGUCGGAGACAGCGUUCGAGUUUACCCAUUAUGUGGGUAGGCUCGACUCACGAACCCUUGACCUCAAAUCGGGUGAGACUACCCGCUGAACUUAAGCAUAUCAAUAAGCGGAGGAAAAGAAACUAACAAGGAUUCCCCUAGUAACUGCGAGUGAAGCGGGAAAAGCUCAAAUUUAAAAUC